rnacentral:rRNA from 1 species
UGCGCAACGCGUAUGCAACCAACCCCCCGACUGGCGGAUAGCCGGUGGAAACGCCGGGCAACCCGCCAUGGCGCGGCUCCGGGGGCAUCCCUGGAAUCGCAAAGCGGCGACGCGGUCGGGGACGGGCAUGCGUCCCGAUUAGAUGGUAGGCGGGGUGACGGCCCACCUAGUCGGCGAUGGUAGGGGAUCUGAGAGGACGGUCCCCCACACUGGCACUGAGACACGGGCCAGACUCCUGCGGGAAGCAGCAGUAAGGGAUAUUGGUCAAUGGGCGGAAGCCUGAACCAGCCAAUGCCGCGUGAGGGAAUGAGGCCCUACGGGUCGUGAACCUCUUUUGCACGGGGACAAGGGCGCGGUCGGGAACCGUGCUUGAGGGUACCGUGGGAAUAAGCGUCGGCUAACUCCGUGCCAGCCGCCGC